AAUUCUUGCUCUUUUCUCAGCUCUGAGUGGUGAGACAUAGCAGUUCUCCCUGAAGGCAUUUAUAGAAGAUGUAAAGAUUUUUACCCAUUAAGGCAAUACAGCACACAACCACAAGUUGGGAUAUGAGCAAAUGCUGGUUCUGCAACAGCCCGUUCAAGAUAUAAUGGACAUUUACAGUGUUAUGGUGUAGUGGAAAUGCUAAGUUGUGGCUUGAAGCAGUGAUUGAGCACCUGGUGGGAAGGCAGGGCCAACCCAGAGGACCUCAGGUGCAUGCAAUGCAGCUGAGUGACCAGAAGGGCUGGGGAGCCAGGAUCCACUCCUUCCCAGACCUCAUUUAAAGGUUGGCAGUGGAGACAAAGUUAUCUUGCUGGAUGUCCCUAUCUACCCAAGGCCUUCCAAAGGAAGUCUCCUCUGCUAGGAAGAAGACAGCAAAACCCACCUAGAUGGGUAAUUGGUGAUGGGAAGGCCUCUUAUGGCACAAUGCACGUUGGUCUGGAUAGAGAGCCAGGCAGUGUGGAAUGGCAUGGAGUGAGCAAGGUGAGCAGCAUGCCUGAUUAGAGUCCACUGGGGUUGUGCUUAGAAGGGAAGGAGCUGUAUUCUGACAAUGAGGUGAAGAGAAAGUAAGAGAGAACUUGAUUAAAGAGAGAAUGAAGGAGUACUGAAGCUGAAGAACACACAUUUCCUAUUUUCAUACAGCAGAGUAUGAAACAACUUGGACAGCCAGAACAAAGCACCCCGUAGCAAUAGUAAGUUCUCUCCAUGAUUUCCAAGGCCAACAUCUGCCAAAUGUGGAAAGAAAGCUUAUUUUAGCACAGCUAGCUUACUCAGACAGGUCUCUCCUGGAGAAGCUGGUAGCAGACCUUGCUGGGAGGAUGUCUUCAACAAGAUAUUUUCAAAGGGAAAAAGUACUGGCUAAGGAAAGCCUGUGUUUUAUGGUACUCUAAGGAGAUAAAGCAAGCAUGCGGAUUUAUCUUUAGGAAGAUUCCACUGGCUUUCAAAGGGGGGCCCGAGGUCAUGACUAGCUGAUGGUUUGAGUCACUGGCUGAGUUCUGCAGAGGACUUUCUCUGAGUUGCCUUGGCUUUCUGCAGGGCGGGUAGUAAAGCACGCUUUCCUUGUUCACUGCUUUCUCCUGUCACCUAUUUGCCUGCUGCUGUGGCUUGGAGUGACGGUGCUGAACAGCGUUGUUGAUUCCUGGUUUGUGUCCAAGCAGUGGUUUUUCUUUUUUUUUUUUU
ensembl:lncRNA